AACUAACUGGACCUGAGUGUGACCCGGGAGAUGAGGGAAUGGGCAGGCAGCAUGGGCAGACUAGCUCCCUAGAACUUUGACAGCAGCCUCUUCCCAAGGGAAGGACUCAGCUGAUUUCUGAGAAAGCAACCACCAAAUUCUAGAACAUACUUAACAUUUCGGUCUAGUCUGUUCUUAAUCUGAAUCUAGGUCCACUGAAAGAGGUUAGCAGGAGAUCAAGAUGGGAAGGAUGAGGAAAGAAUGGAGGUGGAGAGUUGACCAUAUGGGCUGGAAGGGAACCUUGUAGGAAUACAGGCAGCUGGGGAAAGAACUGCAAGGAUAAGUACUUAGAGAAGAAGGGGACGGUUAAAAAGACUUUAGGGCAUGGGAGAAGAACUGACAAUGGACAGAUGUCAACACAUUUCUGGAAGGCUGAAAACAAGACAGGGGAAGAUGGGAACCAAAUGCUGUGAUGAGAAUGCAGAUAUGUUCAGGAUUUGCCAGCAACAGAUGUAUUCUUAUAAGAAACUCCAAAGAGAUAAUUACCAGAGGCUAAUUUACAGAUGCCAGCAGGAACGGAAAUGGAGUGAAUGGCUGCCCACAGAGAUAGGAAUUGGAUUUUAUCAAGAGUCGUGGACAAGCAUGGUUGUUCUCAGAAGGAAAAAAAAGUCCAGAAGAGUGACUGGUUAAGAAAUAUGAUAACAAAAUGAAUUAUCCAAAGGGCAGUGCAGUAUUUAAAACCAUUGCUUUAGAGUUAGACUAAGUCUAGGUUUAAAUUUUUGCUGCUCCAUUUAAUAUUUGGAAACCUUGGCUGAGCUGCUUAACCUAAGCCUCAAUUUCUCACCUGCAAUGUCAGUGUAAUAGAAUCUGUCUCAAAGUUGUGAGGAAAAAAGAAACAUGUAGAACAGUUAACUCAGUAUUUAGAACAUAAUAAAUAAUGAAUGUUAACUCUUAUUAUUAAUUAAAUGCCUCCAGUUAAAGUGCCU
rnacentral:lncRNA from 1 species